GACGAACGCUGGCGGCGUGCUUAACACAUGCAAGUCGAGCGAUGAAAGCCUUAUGAACUAUUCGUAGUGAUCGGGGCCGGAUUAGCGGCGGACGGGUGAGUAACGCGUGAGCAACCUGCCUUAAACAACGGGACAGCCUCGGGAAACCGGGAUUAAUACCGUAUGAGACCCCGCCUUCACAUGAAGAAGAGGUUAAAGAUUUAUCGGUUUAAGAUGGGCUCGCGUCUGAUUAGCUAGUUGGUGAGAUAAAAGCCCACCAAGGCAACGAUCAGUACCCGGCUUGGGAGAGUGAACGGUCAUAUUGGAACGGAGACACGGUCCAAACUCCUACGGGAGGCAGCAGUGGGGAAUAUUGCACAAUGGGGGAAACCCUGAUGCAGCGACGCCGCGUGAGCGAUGAAGGAAUUCGUUUCGUAAAGCUCUGUCCAAGGGGAAGAUAAUGACAGUACCCUUGGAGGAAGCCCCGGCUAAAUACGUGCCAGCAGCCGCCGCUG
rnacentral:rRNA from 1 species